rnacentral:rRNA from 1 species
AGCGGCAGACGGGAGAGUAACACGUGGGAACGUACCCUUCAGUUCGGAACAACCCAGGGAAACUUGGGCUAAUACCGGAUACGUCCGAAAGGAGAAAGAUUUAUCGCUGAAGGAUCGGCCCGCGUCUGAUUAGCUAGUUGGUGGGGUAACGGCCCACCAAGGCUACGAUCGGUAGCUGGUCUGAGAGGAUGAUCAGCCUCACUGGGACUGAGACACGGCCCAGACUCCUACGGGAGGCAGCAGUGGGGAAUAUUGGACAAUGGGCGCAAGCCUGAUCCAGCCAUGCCGCGUGGGUGAUGAAGGCCCUAGGGUUGUAAAGCCCUUUCGGCGGGGAAGAUAAUGACGGUACCCGCAGAAGAAGCCCCGGCUAACUUCGUGCCAGCAGCCGCGGUAAUACGAAGGGGGCUAGCGUUGCUCGGAAUCACUGGGCGUAAAGCGCACGUAGGCGGGUUGCUAAGUCGGGGGUGAAAUCCUGGAGCUCAACUCCAGAACUGCCUUCGA